AGAACGAACGCUGGCGGCAGGCUUAACACAUGCAAGUCGAGCGCCCAGCAAUGGGAGCGGCGGACGGGUGAGUAACACGUGGGAACAUGCCUUUCGGUACGGAACAACUGCGGGAAACUGCAGCUAAUGCCGUAUGCGCCCUUACGGGGAAAGAUUUAUCGCCGAAAGAUUGGCCCGCGUCUGAUUAGCUAGUUGGUGAGGUAACGGCUCACCAAGGCUUCGAUCAGUAGCUGGUUUGAGAGAACGACCAGCCACACUGGGACUGAGACACGGCCCAGACUCCUACGGGAGGCAGCAGUGGGGAAUCUUGGACAAUGGGGGAAACCCUGAUCCAGCCAUGCCGCGUGAGUGAUGAAGGCCUUCGGGUUGUAAACUCUUUUACCAGGGAAGAUAAUGACUGUACCUGGAGAAUAACGCCCGGCUAACUUCGCGCCAGCAGCCGC
rnacentral:rRNA from 1 species